GAUGAACGCUAGCGGCAGGCCUAAUACAUGCAAGUCGAACGGUGUCUUCGGACAUAGUGGCGCACGGGUGCGUAACACGUAUGCAACCUACCUUACAUUGGGGGAUAGCCUUUCGAAAGGGAGAUUAAUACCGCAUAAGACAGUAGCUGGGCAUCCAGCAGCUGUUAAAGAUUUAUCGAUGUAAGCUGGGCAUGCGUCCAAUUAGCUAGUUGGUGAGGUAAUGGCUCACCAAGGCAAUGAUUGGUAGGGGAACUGAGAGGUCAAUCCCCCACACUGGCACUGAGAUACGGGCCAGACUCCUACGGGAGGCAGCAGUAGGGAAUAUUGGGCAAUGGACGCGAGUCUGACCCAGCCAUGCCGCGUGCAGGAUGAAGGCGUUAUGCGUUGUAAACUGCUUUUAUACAGGAAGAAACGACUCUUGCGAGAGGCAUUGACGGUACUGUAUGAAUAAGCACCGGCUAACUCCGUGCCAGCAGCCGCAGUAAGAC
rnacentral:rRNA from 1 species